rnacentral:misc_RNA from 1 species
GUUUGGGAAGUUGGGUUUGUAUUCAAACAUGAGCUGGUUAUUCCUAGUUGGUCUACUUGCCCCAGUUCCAAUAUGGUUACUGUCGCUCAAAUAUCCGGAGAAGAAAUGGAUCAGGCUAAUCCACAUGCCAAUUUUCUUGUCAGCCACAGCAGGGAUGCCCCCAGCUAGAGCUGUGCACUACUUGACUUGGGGAGCUGUUGGAAUCUUUUUCAACUUCUAUGUUUAUAGAAGGUACAAGGC